AAAGCACGUACCACAAAGGGACCUGGAAACAAAAACGAGAAUCAACUUUGAUUUUUAUAUCGCAAUACCACCUCAUGAGCAAAUAAAGUGGAGAGCUGGAUUUGGUUUGCUGACUCCUGGGACAGAAGACAGACUGAAGGAUGUCUGAGGAAAUGAAUGAGUAAAAGCCACCAUUUUUGUUUUGUGGAGAGCUGGAUUUGGUUUGCUGACUCCUGGGACAGAAGACAGACUGAAGGAUGUCUGAGGAAAUGAAUGAGUAAAAGUCACCAUUUUUGUUUUGCUACAAUUCAGACAUAGUAGUCAGCAAGCUUCAACCACAUAGAAAAAAAAACCCUAGAAGACUGCAACAACAAAAAAG